rnacentral:rRNA from 1 species
GGUACCCCACUAUGCCACGAAGUAAAUAUGAUUUAAUCAAUUCGCCAGAAAAUUACGGGCAUCUCUUUAUUUUUGGCCUAAAACUCAAAAGACUUGACGGUGUCUCACCCCCCUAGAGGAGCCUGUUCCAUAAUCGAUAACCCCCGAUACACCUAACCACCCCUCGAACAUACACCUUUCAGCCUAUAUACCGCCGUCGCCAGCUUACCUUUCAAAAGCAUCACAGUAAGCAAAAUAGUAUUAUACUAAAAAGUCAGGUCAAGGUGUAGCUAACGUGGUGGUGCCAAUGGGCUACAUUAUCUGCCCCAGAUAACAACGAACUAUAACCUGAAAAAAUAUAUGAAGGCGGAUUUAGCAGUAAAUUAAGCAAGAACACUUAAUUUAACCCUGCGCUGAGACAUGUACACACCGCCCGUCACCCNUCCUCAAA